UUCUUUUUGUUUUUGCUUUUUGGCUCAUAAAUUGGAUAUUUCAUCUGGAGUGGAUAAUUACAACAGUGGCAAGUACAUGGAAUAAUAUAGAAGACUUUGAUCUUAAAUCCAAGGAACUUGGCUAAUUCUAGAGAUAGCCAUAUGAAAACUUUAAAACAGAAGUAUGGGUAGCGGACUUGAAGUAACUCUAUGUCAAAUAGUCAUACGUUAAGUAUCUUCAAAAAACUUGGAUAUUAUUUCAGAGGAUACAAAAUAAAAAAUCAAACUGAAAAACAUAAAGAUUACAGAGAAGAAAUCAACACCUUCCUGUGCAGUCCUAUUGGAAUUUAGAUGGAGGUCUCGUCUUGUUGCCUAGGUUGGAGUGCCGUGGCAUGAUCAUAGGGACUUGCCAUGAGGUGUUGAAGCCUUAUUUCAUUGAGUUGGAGAGACUGGACCUAAAUGGCACAGCAUGACUUUUCUCCAGCCUGGCUUAAUUUUCCUACUCCACCAUCAUCAACAAAGUCAUCAUUGAAUUUUGAGAAGCAUUCUGAAAACUUUUCAUGGACCGAAAAUCGUUAUGAUGUGAAUCGUCAACGACACAACUCUUCAGAUGGCUUUGAUUCUGGUGUUGGACAUCCUAAUGGGGGUAACUUUGGAAGGAAAGAAAAAAACGGAUGGCAUACACAUGGAAGAAAUGGUACUGAAAACAUAAAUCAUCGAGGGGGAUACCAUGGUGGGAGUUCCCGUUCUCGUAGCAGUAUUUUCCAUUCUGGAAAAAUCCUACAUGAAAACAAUGUACCUGACCAUGAAACUGGGAGGAAAGAAGACAAGAGAGAACGCAAACUGUUUGAGGCUGAGGAUUUUCCGUCUUUAAAUCCUGAAUAUGAGAGAGAACCAAAUCAGAAUAAAUCUUUAGCUGCAGGUGUAUGGGAAUAUCCUCCGAAUCCUAAAUCUAGAGCUCCAAGGAUGCUGGUCAUUAAGAAAGGUAAUACAAAAGACUUACAGCUAUCUGGAUUCCCAGUAGUGGGAAAUCUUCAGUCACAGCCAGUUAAGAAUGGAACUGGUCCAAGUGUUUAUAAAGGUUUAGUCCCUAAACCUGCUGCUGCACCUACAAAACCUACACAAUGGAAAAGCCAAACUAAAGAAAAUAAAGCUGGGACUUCUUUCCCUCAUGAGUCUACAUAUGAUGUUGGCAACUUUAAUGCUUUUAAAUCAACUGCCAAGAAUUUUAGUCCAUCACCAAAUUCAGUGAAAGAGUGUAAUCGCUCAAAUUCCUCUUCACCUGUUGACAAACUCAAUCAGCAGCCUCGUCUAACCAAACUGACAUGAAUGUGCACAGAUAAGAAGAGUGAAUUUUUUAAAGCAUUGAAAAGGGACAGAGUAGAAGAGGAACAUGAAGAUGAAAGCCAUGCUGGCUCAGAGAAGGAUGACGACUCAUUUAAUUUACAUAACAGCAAUAGCUCUCACGAAGAAAGGGAUAUAAACCGAAACUUUGAUGAAAAUGAAAUUCCACAAGAGAAUGGCAAUGCCUCGGUGAUUUCCCAACAGAUCAUUCAGUCUUCAACCUUCCCACAAACUGAUGUUCUUUCAAGUUCACUUGAGGCAGAACACAGAUUGUUGAAGGAGAUGGGCUGGCAGGAAGACAGUGAAAAUGAUGAAACAUGUGCUCCCUUAACGGAGGAUGAAAUGAGAGAAUUCCAAGUUAUUAGUGAACAGUUACAGAAUGGUCUGAGAAAAAAUGGUAUUUUGAAAAAUGGGCUGAUCUGUGACUUCAAGUUUAGACCCUGGAAAAACAGCACUUUCAAACCCACAAUUGAGAAUGAUGACACAGAGACAAGUAGCAGUGACACAUCAGAUGACGACGAUGUGUGAAGGAUUUCCUAACAGCUUUAGAAAUUUUAGUGUGAUACAUCUCUCAUACAGUUUGGGGUGAAUUGUAAAAAUGAAGAACUAUAAUUUAUGUAGUGAAAUACCCCAUUAGAAGAUGUUUUCUGGGGGGACUUCAAUAUUAAGAAAACCAAGAAUGUUGUGUUGGGCUGUGUUGAACAUUAUUUCUCUGUAAAUGAAUGUUGUAGAAAUGAGGACUUUGGUUGAUCCAACAUUGACUUUCUUCAUCACUGCAGCAUUUCUCUGACUAGCAAUGUGACGACGUAACAAAUGAGAUUUUCUCAUUUAAUAAUAAAAAAUUGUGUAAUGUUUUGCAAAGCUUCUGUCUUAAAAUGUCCAGGUCUUAAGAAAAAAAGGCAGCUUACACUGUUUUGCUUGCAGAGUCAUAUCUUUUUCGUACAAUGGAAAUCCUCAAGUCCACUUUGUGUGCCCCUCCAACCCUCCCCCAAAGAAACAAACAAAAAGGAAAAUGUAGCAUGUUGGCUAAAACUGGAGCAAAGUGCACUAAAACAUUAAUUUCCUAAAUUCAACUGUUGUACUAGUCACCUUUUAAAAUAUAAAUUGCUCUUUAGCCAUUUGUAGUGCAGUAAAUGUUACAGGAAAGACUUGCCACAUUUUCUUCCAAAUUUUAAGAGGUGAUUUUCAAGAGCUUUAUUUGGGUAUGUUGUCAGACCAGGAUUUUCAGAGUUGAUGGAGAAGAGUCUUGUGGGAAAACUUAUUUUGAUAAAUUAUUACACAUGCAGAAAAACUGAUCACAGUUACUGGAUCUGUCCACAACAUGGAAAAUAAACUGGAUUUUCAGAAUGUUGUUGUUCUCUGUAGUGUUCAAGAUAUUGGUCUCUAAACACAAACAUGCUCUAAACAUACUUUAUUCACUUUAAACAAAGUUAUACUUUACAAAAGUUAUAGUUUAUUAAAGAUGGUGACUGCUGUCUGAGGUUAGAAAAGGAAAGCUUGGCUUUUUUCAUUAUCAGAUGCACAAGGUUAUUAAAUGAAUGUUAAGGAACUGUAUUUUCAUUUGCACAUUAAUUUUAGAAUCAUUUCUGUUUUGCUGCUGACUAGAAGAGUAUUUUGGCUCUGUGUGUUUGCAUUUUGAUUUUUCUGGUUUUGUUUACACUCAUUUUGCUUUUUAUUCUCUCCUGCAACCCCAUGUUUAAAUAUAUUGUAUUUGUAAAGAGCAUAGUCUUAGAGCAAAAACGUUUGAAGUUUUAUGUCAGGUCUAAUCUGAAGAGUUUGUUGUUUUCAAAAUUGUAUUUUCUCAGAAGGCUGCAGUGGUUUUGCUGUUUCAUUAAUACCCUGCCUAGGUUUCCGAACUUUCACCAGAAGAUAUAUAUUUUUGUUCUCACUGACUGAGACUGGUAGUGAUGGGGAAAUUAAAGCAAAAACAGCACACCUGUACACCCCCACACAACUGGAGGAUGAGUUAAGAGUGGUAACAAAGUAUUAUAUGUUUCAAGUUAACUUUUAAAAUAGGCUCAUAUAAUUUGCUACAAUUCAGUCUAAUUAGCUAAAGUUAAAUGUAGCAUUAGCCACAAGAGAACCUAAAACACACUUUGAUAAAGCUGUAUCACAUAUUGAAUGUCUUUGAGACUCUUAGGUUGUACUGUAUUUGGUUAAUUAAUGAAAUUUAUCAGAUGCAAACUGUAUUUGCUAAAAUAAUAUAGAAGGGACCUGAGAAAUGUAGUUUCCAUUUAAAAUCUACCUUAUUGUGUAUUUCUACUUUCAGAAAAAAUUCUGUAAUUUUUGUUUUCUGGCAUCUUAUAUUCAGACAAUUUUUUCUGCCUUAAUUGCCAUUUACUUUGUUAACUGAUGUUUAUGGUGCUUUCGUACGUUGUGAUACAGAAUGUGUUCAGUAAUUUAUUCUUUAUAAAUACGUUAAAGUACAGUGAAAUGAUUAUUCUACAUAUUAAGUGAUGACAUUAACAAAUUUGGUUCCUGAGGGGAGUCAUAGAUGUGUGAUUUGAGAGAACUGUUAAAGUUUUGCAUAAUUUUAACUUGCUGUCUGAAUAAUGAGAAGCUGAUAAUGGGUUUGGACCAUAUUGUUUGAAAGGGAGCCCAUAAGCACAGAAUCUAGUUAAAUUGUAGGUCUAGCAUGGAAUUGCUAUAUUCAGCCAGGUCAUGGAGGUCUGAAAAAAUAAUUUUGGCUACUUCAAACUAAUUUUUGUGGCAAGUUUUUUUUUUUUUUUUUUAAAAAAACCUCCACUUUAUCAAGGUAUAAAUUGGCAUAAACAACAUGUAAAGCAUACAAUUUAAUGUUUUAACUGACAGAAUCACAACUAAGUGAACAUGUCAUACACACACACCCCCACCCAUCCACCAUUUCCUGGUGCUUCCUUUGUAAAUUUCUUCCCCUCACUAUUAACCUUUCCCUGCAUUUUAUUAAAUAAAAGGCAAUUAAUGAGCAAAAUUCUUAGGAAAUGAUUUAAAAUAGCAUUUCAAAAAUUGUAUUUGGUUUUAAGAUAAGGAUUAGAAUGAUUUUAAUUUCUAUAAAUAUAUUUCUAUUAAAAUUGAAAUAAACUUAGAAGUGUUAAUCAAAAGAUAACCAGAUUGAUUUAGUAAAAUCAGACAUAUUAUUAAAAUUCAAUAUGGAAGAAAUUCAAAAUUGAAGGAAGCAUCUGGUUCAUAAAAAUUAUUUUAGUCCUUUUUUGUUAGUGCUGUAUGUGUACUGUUGUUAGAAUAUGGUUAUAUAAACAUUUGUGUUUUAA